GAUGAACGCUGGCGGCGUGCCUAAUACAUGCAAGUCGAGCGAACGGACGAGAAGCUUGCUUCUCUGAUGUUAGCGGCGGACGGGUGAGUAACACGUGGAUAACCUACCUAUAAGACUGGGAGAACUUCGGGAAAACGGAUCUAAUACCGGAUGAUAUUUUGAACCGCAUGGUUCAAAAGUGAAACACGGUCUUGCUGUCACUUAUAGAUGGAUCCGCGCUGCAUUAGCUAGUUGGUAAGGUAACGGCUUACCAAGGCAACGAUGCAUAGCCGACCUGAGAGGGUGAUCGGCCACACUGGAACUGAGACACGGUCCAGACUCCUACGGGAGGCAGCAGUAGGGAAUCUUCCGCAAUGGGCGAAAGCCUGACGGAGCAACGCCGCGUGAGUGAUGAAGGUCUUCGGAUCGUAAAACUCUGUUAUUAGGGAAGAACAUAUGUGUAAGUAGCUGUGCACAUCUUGACGGUACCUAAUCAGAAAGCCACGGCUAACUACGUG
rnacentral:rRNA from 1 species